rnacentral:rRNA from 1 species
UUGUAGGUCCAUAUACGGCUGUCUCAAAGAUUUAAGCCAUGCAUGUCUAGUAUAAGCAAUAUACCGUGAACUGCGAUGGCUCAUUAAAUCAGUUAUCGUUUAUUGAUAAUACCUUACUACUUGGAUAUCCCGUGGUAAUUCUAGAGCUAAUACAUGCUGAAAAUCCCGACUUCGGAAGGGAUGUGUUUAUUAGAUAAAAAACCAAUGCCCUUCGGGGCUUUUUGGUGAUUCAUGAUAACUUUACGGAUCGCAUAGCCUUGCGCUGGCGACGGUUCAUUCAAAUUUCUGCCCUAUCAACUUUCGAUGGUAAGGUAUUGGCUUACCAUGGUUUCAACGGGUAACGGGGAAUUAGGGUUCGAUUCCGGAGAGGGAGCCUGAGAAACGGCUACCACAUCCAAGGAAGGCAGCAGGCGCGCAAAUUACCCAAUCCCGACACGGGGAGGUAGUGACAAUAAAUACUGAUACAGGGCUCUUUUGGGUCUUGUAAUUGGAAUGAGUACAAUUUAAACCUCUUAACGAGGAACAAUUGGAGGGCAAGUCUGGUGCCAGCAGCCGCGGUAAUUCCAGCUCCAAUAGCGUAUAUUAAAGUUGUUGCAGUUAAAAAGCUCGUAGUUGAAACUUGGGCCUGGCUGGCGGGUCCGCCUCACCGCGUGCACUCGUCCGGCCGGGCCUUCCUUCUGAAGAACCUCAUGCCCUUCACUGGGCGUGCUGGGGAAUCAGGACUUUUACUUUGAAAAAAUUAGAGUGUUCAAAGCAGGCCUUUGCUCGAAUACGUUAGCAUGGAAUAAUAAAAUAGGGCGUGCGUUUCUAUUUUGUUGGUUUCUAGAGACGCCGCAAUGAUUAACAGGAACAGUCGGGGGCAUCAGUAUUCAGUUGUCAGAGGUGAAAUUCUUGGAUUUACUGAAGACUAACUACUGCGAAAGCAUUUGCCAAGGAUGUUUUCAUUAAUCAGUGAACGAAAGUUAGGGGAUCGAAGACGAUCAGAUACCGUCGUAGUCUUAACCGUAAACUAUGCCGACUAGGGAUCGGGCGAUGUUCUUUUUCUGACUCGCUCGGCACCUUACGAGAAAUCAAAGUUUUGGGUUCUGGGGGAU